UACAGAGGUGGCAAGCGUUGUUCGGAAUUACUGGGCGUAAAGGGCGCGUAGGCGGCCAUCUAAGUCAGACGUGAAAUCCCCCGGCUUAACCUGGGAACUGCGUCUGAUACUGGAAGGCUUGAGUAUGGGAGAGGGAUGUAGAAUUCCAGGUGUAGCGGUGAAAUGCGUAGAUAUCUGGAGGAACACCGGUGGCGAAGGCGGCAUCCUGGACCGAGAUUGACGCUGAGGCGCGAAAGCCAGGGGAGCAAACGGG
rnacentral:rRNA from 1 species